GUGCUCACUUCAGCAGCACAUGUACUAAAAUUGGAAUGACAUAGAGAUUAGCAUGGCCCCUACACAAGAAGGACAUGCAAAUUCAUGAAGCGUUCCAUAUUUUU